UCAUUUACAAUAAAAUCGUUUGCCAAGCC
rnacentral:sRNA from 1 species